rnacentral:rRNA from 1 species
AAUAUUGGACAAUGGGCGAAAGCCUGAUCCAGCAAUGCCGCGUGAGUGAUGAAGGCCUUAGGGUUGUAAAGCUCUUUUACCCGGGAUGAUAAUGACAGUACCGGGAGAAUAAGCUCCGGCUAACUCCGUGCCAGCAGCCGCGGUAAUACGGAGGGAGCUAGCGUUGUUCGGAAUUACUGGGCGUAAAGCGCGCGUAGGCGGUUUUUUAAGUCAGAGGUGAAAGCCCAGUGCUCAACACUGGAACUGCCUUUGAAACUGGAAAACUUGAAUCUUGGAGAGGUCAGUGGAAUUCCGAGCGUAGAGGUGAAAUUCGUAGAUAUUCGGAAGAACACCAGUGGCGAAGGCGACUGACUGGACAAGUAUUGACGCUGAGGUGCGAAAGCGUGGGGAGCAAACAGGAUUAGAUACCCCGGUAGUCCUAGCUGUAAACGAUGUGGACUGGGCGUCGGUGGGGUAAAAUCCGCCGGUGCCGCAGCUAACGCGCUAAGUCCACCGCCUGGGGACUACGGCCGCAAGGUUA